CCUAAUAGGCCAACAUGAUCCUUUGUAAACUCAAAACAUAGGCUGACAAAGCCCUACAAUCUUUCACGUACAGGACAAAUGUCUACAAGCCUCUAAGAGUACAUAAAUGUCAUAAAGGUCGAGACAGAGUCCCGCCAUAUCAAACAAUACACGUCUAAAUCAUACUAACCAAACGAGCAACUCUGAAGCAAAUGGAGUGCACCAACAUCUUCUGCUGAGUUGAUAGCCUACUUGGAGGGCUCUCGGCCUAUCUAUCAGGACCUGCGGGCAUGAAACACAGUGUCCCCAAGCAAAAGGGACGUCAGUACAAGUAAUGUACUGAGUAUGUAAGGCACAUAAAUAAGUACAUAAGAGACAUGAAAGAAAUAUAGAGUACAUAACUCAACCUGUAAGUCUGAAUAACUUUGUAAAUCAUAAAUUACUUUUAGCAUCAUGCAUAUGCGUAUGAAUGUUAUAUCGUGCAUAGGUACAUGUUUCAUAACAUCAUCAACUUCUGAGGGCAUCCCAUCAUAUCAUCUUGGCCACUGUGGGCAAAAUCAUCAACGUAUACUAGCUGAUCAGGUGGUGGUGCGUAUAUAACGCCAUAACCUCUUUCUAUAUCCCAUAUAGAUAUACAUACAUACAUAUAUAUAUACGCGUAUAUAACGCCGUUUGAAUCAUAUUUUAGCCACUGUGGGCAACAUCAUCAUCAUAUACCAGCUGAUCAGGUGGUGGUGCAUAUAUAACGCCAUAACCUUUCCUAUAUCCCAUAUACAUAUAUAUAUACAUACAUAUAUACGCGUAUAUGACUCCAUCUGGUAAUGGGUCAAUGCACAUGAAUGCAAUGCAUGAAAAGUACGUUAAUAAAAUCCUUCGGAGCUUCAUAAGAUCAUUUUACUUUUGAGUAAUAUCAUAAAGUAAACUCUUUUUAACUUUCGUAUUUUUCUGAGACCCAUAAACAUAUGAUAAAAUAUUAUAACACACAGAAAUUCAAGAACAUAGAUAUCUCUAAUAAUUCUAUGAAUAGAGUCAUUCAUGGAAUUUAUGCAUUUGCACGUUUCGUUCGUAUUGUAUGAAUCAUGCCAAAAGAAAAGAAAGAAUAGCCUUAACAUACCUGUACAAAUAAGACAUUAGCUCUCGUCACAAGACUCUAGACAUGAGAACCUCUUAGCUCUUAAUAAUAACACGAGUAACCAAGAAGAGGCAAAGGAGUCAGCUGCAACCAUAUUAUAGUAGCUGUUGUUGUUACGGACAAAGAGGAUGAAACUGUAUAAUCCAUCAACUAUCUCAGACUAAAGAAUCUUCAUAUAUAUUUUAUGGAGAAAACCACAAUCUUGGAGUGCUGAGCUUAUUAACUUUGGACUUCACUGCCAUAUGUGUUGAUCUUAAGUUAUCAACUAGUGACUUGUAGAUUCCAUAGUGAUUUGUGACAAAAUGGUUUAAAGAAGUCUACAUCUAAUGGGAAGGGAAACGGGAAUUGAUUGCAACUAAAGAGGUGGAUUUUG
rnacentral:lncRNA from 1 species